rnacentral:rRNA from 1 species
GAUGAACGCUGGCGGCGUGCCUCAAACAUGCAAGUCGAGCGAGGCUAUGAAUUACCGCAAGGUAAGGCAUAGCCUAGCGGCGAACGGGUGAGUAACACGUGGGUAACCUACCUGGAAGACAGGGAUAACGAUUCGAAAGGGUCGCUAAUACCUGAUAAUAUCCGUCUGCCGGAUGGCGGAGGGAAGAAAGGGGAAACCCGCUUUCAGAUGGGCCCGCGUCCCAUCAGCUAGUUGGUAAGGUAAAGGCUUACCAAGGCGACGACGGGUAGCCGGUCUGAGAGGAUGUACGGCCACACUGGGACUGAGAUACGGCCCAGACUCCUACGGGAGGCAGCAGUGGGGAAUCUUGCGCAAUGGGGGCAACCCUGACGCAGCCAUGCCGCGUGAACGAUGAAGGCCUUAGGGUUGUAAAGUUCUUUUACCCGUGACGAUGAUGACGGUAACGGGGAUAAGAUCCGCGUACUUACGUUGUCGACGACGCGACGGCCGGUAAAACGGUAACGUAACCGUACCGGUCCGUCGUAGGACGGGCCGGUGGUCGGAAC